GAGCUUUGGAAAUGCACAUGGAAAUCAAAACAUUCAAAAUGAAGAAAUAAAUGGUAAUUUAAAUGCUGAACUUAAAGGAAGAAACCAAAAAAAGAAAGAGGAGGCUGAAUAUAAUUUUAUUUUAUUUCAUUUUAUUUUUGGUCUCAUACUCCUUUAUUUCACCAUGUCUAAUAAUUACGGUACAUUAUUCUACUACUGGAUUGAAGCAGUGUCUUGGCAGGGUCGUAUGAUGUUUAUACGUGCUGCUUCUGCAUACUUUGUUAUCAUAUACAUCUAAGUUUAUGUUACCUAAUGGAUGAUUACUGGUAAAGAUUAUAUGUUGUUUAUCUUUUCAAAUUUGCAUUUGGCAACUGAAUUCAAAAAAUAAAACGAGGAAGAGUAGAAUAAGAUGGCUAAAUUUAAAAGCACUACCAAAUUAGAUUGGGUCCUAGUGGUGGCAGUAGGCCACAUUGGACUGUUUCGGGUUAAAUCCCAACACCUAACCCAAUCAAAUUCAGGUUGUGUUAAGGUCACCCAGUUGGUUUGGAUUCCUUGGUUUUUGUAAUUUUUGGAAUUUUUCAGCUAAUACUCAAAAUAAUAUGGGUCACCUGGGUUUCCCAAGUUACAGCCCAUCCAAUCUUUAAAAUUUUUGGACCAAUUGGAUUUAGAGUGAGUUAGGAUCAUGCUUUAAUCGUAUCUUUUGGGCAGAUUAAGCUUGUAAUUCCAAAUUCCAGAAUUGUUGAAGUCAUGGACUCAUAGAUGUUGGAAGUAAAACAAAGGAUAUAUGGCUAGCAGUAUGACUAUUAAAAAGCACAAUCUGCACAUGCUCUGAGGUAACUCCUUUGGAAACAUAUAGAUCAAAAAAAAUAAAUUUAGAAUCAUUUAAUUACUUGUUGCUAUUUUGACGAAGGAGCAAAGCAACUACUUAUCAGAUGCAUUUUGAUUUAAUAUAUUGAGCUAUCAACUAAGUUCUUUGAUUGGCAGUGAACCACGGUGAAUGAAAGAUCGAAGUCAGGUCAUUAACAUUUAUAAAUGCAGGUGCCAGGACAGCCAGUUUCUCUCAUGAAAGAUCCCGGUAUCAAGUUGAGACGAGAGCAAGAGUGAUAAUUUUUGACAUUGCAGCUUUUGAAACUGCUACCGCUCUGCUGAGAAGGUCAUCUUCUUUCAUACCGCAUACAGGUGAUCAUCCCCAUAGACCUCUAAGCAGAGAACGUGGUCUUAUGAGUUGGCCUGAAAAUUUCUACAAGGAAAAACGGCACAAGCAGAAUCUUGAAAAUGGACAAGAAAAUAGUUUGCCUGCAAGAGCAAUGCAGCUGAGCAUUUUUGGCAGCAUGGUUGACGUGCAACGGCGUGCCCAUUGUUCUUCAAGCAGUCUAUACCAGCGAUCACAUAGCAUGUUCUCACGAGCUGCAUCACUUCGUGGCCGUCCGCUAGUUUCUGUUAGAUCAGAAGGAUCUAGUACUUUAAGGAAGAAUCUUCAGGGUGUAAACGCUUUCAUAGAUGUUCCUGCUCCGCCACUGAAGAGGACAGACACAAAUGAGAGCCGUGCCUUGCAUGAUUCCAGUGACGAAUCUGGUGCUGAAGACAAUCAAGUAAUGAUUGACUCACCAAGUACGCUUUCUUUCUCCAGACUACUUAGAUUUAUACUAUGCGUACAUGAAUUUUAUGGUUCCUAUGUUAAAAAUCCCUUUGUAGGAAGGCACACUGAAUAAAUAAGAUGGCUCCUCAAGGCUUCUGAGAUUUAGAAAAAGUGGCUUCAUUGGUGUUGAGCUUGAGAUUCAAAUCUGUACCUUUGCCUCCAUUAUUUAUGAUGGAAAUGCCGGUAUCCUUGUUUUGAUUGUUUAGGUAAGGGAUAAUAGGAGAAUAUUGAGGAAUUAUGAAGCAUCUCAUUUACUAAAACUAGCACAGUCCAUGCAGUUCACUAGAUUUUCAUGAGAAAAUUUUCCUUCUGGAAUAUACUGGGGAGUCCAACAAGCUAAUGAAUCAAAUUCCCUUGAGGCUAAGAGACUUCUGCAUUAUAGUGAAUCAUCUGUUCAAGCGUCGCCUUCAGUGGGGGAAUGAUGGAUUAUGUGGCGUUUAGAGUCAAAUUAAGAUGUCCUUAUUUCACCAUUUGUGUAGCUUUCACUUUCUAAGCUAAGGCUUAGUUGUUGUUUACUCUCGAAACCACUCCCAAUUCUUUUAAUUUAAUGCAACUGAAAACUUGGCCAAAAUAUUCCUUUCAAUAGCCAAUGGACAUAUAGCAGACCUAGCAAAACUAUCCAAGAGGGAAAUAAGAGAAGAAACUAGUAGGCGUAGAGCAUAGAUUCUUUAUGUUGCAACCAUUUUAUUCAGAGUUAUGAGAAAAGCGAGUACUUCUCAAAUCACUUCUUUUUUCCAAUCUCCAUCAUUAGCUUAAGGUAGCAUAAUCUGAUUCAUUGGAAUUUAUACCCACUUGCAAAUUUUUUAAUGUAGAGCAUAAAAAAUAAACUAAAUAUUUGUUUAUAACUGAUAAUCAGAUGCACAGAGCUACUCUCACAAAACUGCAAAGAAAAGACCGUUCGUACAAUUAAAUGCUAUAUUCCAUCUUCCAUGCUAUAAUGUUUUCUGUGUACAACUAGUGUAGAAAAUGUAUAAUGUACAUGAUGACCUACCAAUUCAAGCUUCAUAUAGCAUUCCAACCUCAAUGCGUUGUGGUGGCGGCACCCCAAGAGCUGGCAGUGCAGGCCUGCAAUUGCUGUGCAUGACUUCAUAAAAUGCAAGCAUGAUUCUAUCAAACCAGCUACAGUUGUCGCCUGUAUAAAAUCUUGUCUUCCCACGAAUGUGAACCACACCAGCCAGUUUUGCCUCUUCAAAGGCAGAAAUCUCUUCCUGAACCUCUUGACGAUGAGAUGGUAAAGAGUUUCGAGAGUGUUGUAUAUGCUCCCGCAAGCUACUUGUAACUUGAUUUACAAAGUCAUCUCCUUCAAGAUUUAGAGAAUCUGCAUAGCCAUAAUGAAUCACACACCCAUACACUCCUUUGAGGCCCAAUUUGUUGAUAACAAUCCUCUCAUGUGCAGCAACCUUAGGAACCAACAAGUAUCUAAGUGUGGUGAAAAUAGUUACGUCGUGUAGAGAUUUCAUGUUUUUAAUAUAAUGUCCAAGCACAGGAGUCAGACCAUCUUGAAUAUUUGUGUAAAAGAAACACAAUCCAGGAACUCGUUGAACACCUGGAGUGGACAAUAGCAUUCCAAGUCUUCCCAAGUCUAUCUUGUGAAUUAACUCAUAGUCUAUUUUUCUCUGCCUCCCAUAGAACCAUACGAACAUGAUAAAAGCAAGAAAAAAGGAUAUGGCAAAUGGAAUCCAUCCCCCCUCAGGUAUUUUAGUUAAAACUGCACUGACAUAAACACCUUCCAUUGUAAAAAAUACAAAGAAGUAAAGUGCAACCAGCAAUGGUGGAGUCCUCCAUAUUAUGAUCAUGACUAGUGUCAGUAAUAUUGUGGUAAUAAGCAUUACCAGGCUAACAACAACACCAAAUGCAUUUCCAAUGUCUUUUCCAUCUCCAAAAAUAAGUAUAACAGCAACGCAAAGGAUCAUAAGGAUGUAAUUGACUUCUGGGGAGUAAACUUCCCCCUCUUUAUUAGCUGAUGUAUGCACCACCUUAACCCGAGGGAAAUAGUCCAGUACUACUGAUUGCUUGAUGACAGAAAAGGUGGCUGAUAUCAGUGACUGGCUUGCCACAAUUGCAGCCAAUGUGGCAAUCACAAAGAUUGGCCAAUAAAUUGGCUUAGGUAUAAACUUAUAAAAUCCAUCAUUGUGAUCAUUAGGGUUCUUGAUAAGGUAUGCCGUUUGCCCCGCAUAUGUCAGAACAAGUGAUGGAUAUAUUGUAAAUAAAAAAGCCAGCUGAAUAGAACUCCUAUUAAAAUGACCCAGAUCUGCAAACAUUGCCUCUGAGCCUGUGAUACAGAGAAUAGUGCCACCAAGCAACAGCCACCCUUCCUUUCCAUUUCUCCAAAAGAAGCGGACUAUGUAGUGCGGUGAUAAAGCUUUGAAGAUGCUAGGAUAAUGCUGUAUGAUGCUAUAAAUCCCCACUAGUGGAGUACACAAGGUCCAUGCACCCAUGAUAGGGGAAAAGAGAAAACUAACUUUUGAGGUGCCAAACUUUUGUAAUAGAAACAUAACAACCAGAAUGACUGCUGAGAGAGCUUCCACCAAAGAUUUCUUGACAGCAGGAAAUGGUGCUCUUAUUCCAUCCAUUGCAGACAACACUGAGAUUGCAGGCGUAAGUAUCCCAUCUCCAAUUAGCAUACAUGUUCCCAACAUAGCAAUGAAAAGUAGCAGCCUUCUGGAAAAAAUGCUUCUUUCAAAAAAUUUUCCAAGCCUACACUUAUUCUCUGUGCCUUCUUGCAAGACAGGUAUUGAGUAACUUGGGUUUGACUCUACACGUUUUGAAGAAAGGAUUCCAAUAUUUACAUAUCUGCAGAGCAGGGAGUACAAGGCAAAUGUUCCACCUUCGCCAUGAUCAUCAGCCUUAAGGGCUACGCAGCUAUAUUUGACUACCCCAAUGAGAGUUAGAGUCCAAAACAUGAUGCUAUAGAUUCCCAAAUAGUCCUCCUCCGUUGGAGAAUUCAAAGGCAUUGAUGGGUACACAUACAACGGUGACGUCACAAGGCCUCCAAACACCACUCCUAAUGUCUUGUAUGCUAAUACCAAUUUUCCCCACCGUCCGCUCUCCAUGGGGUGGCACUGAUAACGAGGUGGAGUGAAAACGGUAGUAGUGGAGUCCAUAACCACCUCAUUCAUGGUCGCCGGUGAAUCUACUGCAGCCCUGGUUUCCACUCCUUCCAUAAACACACUGAGAUAUUAAUAAAUUGGACACUGAAACUGGGCUCUUUAUUGC
rnacentral:misc_RNA from 1 species